GACGAACGCUGGCGGCGUGCUUAACACAUGCAGGUCGAACGAAGAGCGACGGAAGCUUGCUUCUAUCAAUCUUAGUGGCGAACGGGUGAGUAACGCGUAAUCAACCUGCCCUUCAGAGGGGGACAACAGUUGGAAACGACUGCUAAUACCGCAUACGAUCUAACCUCGGCAUCGAGGAUAGAUGAAAGGUGGCCUCUACAUGUAAGCUAUCACUGAAGGAGGGGAUUGCGUCUGAUUAGCUAGUUGGAGGGGUAACGGCCCACCAAGGCGAUGAUCAGUAGCCGGUCUGAGAGGAUGAACGGCCACAUUGGGACUGAGACACGGCCCAGACUCCUACGGGAGGCAGCAGUGGGGAAUCUUCCGCAAUGGACGAAAGUCUGACGGAGCAACGCCGCGUGAGUGAUGACGGCCUUCGGGUUGUAAAGCUCUGUUAAUCGGGACGGAAGGCCUUCUUGCGAAUAGUGAGAAGGAUUGACGGUACCGGAAUAGAAAGCCACGGCUAACUACGUG
rnacentral:rRNA from 1 species